rnacentral:rRNA from 1 species
UGCUCAGUAACACGUGGACAACCUGCCCUGAGGACUGGAAUAAUCCCGGGAAACUGGGGGUAAUUCCAGAUAUGUCAGAACUCCUGGAAUGGGUUCUGGCAGAAAGGCUCCGGCGCCUCAGGAUGGGUCUGCGGCCUAUCAGGGUAGUAGUGGGUGUAACGUACCUACUAGCCUACGACGGGUACGGGUUGUGAGAGCAAGAGCCCGGAGAUGGAUUCUGAGACAUGAAUCCAGGCCCUACGGGGUGCAGCAGGCGCGAAAACUUUACAAUGCGGGCAACCGCGAUAAGGGGACCUCGAGUGCUGGGUUACAAACCUGGCUGUUGGGCUGCCUAAAAAGCAGUCUAUAGCAAGGGCCGGGCAAGACCGGUGCCAGCCGCCGCGGUAACACCGGCGGCUCGAGUGGUAACCGCUGUUAUUGGGUCUAAAGGGUCUGUAGCCUGCCGGCUAA